rnacentral:tRNA from 2 species
GGAAGCGUGGCCGAGCGGUUGAAGGCACCGGUCUUGAAAACCGGCAAGGGUUUACGCCCUUCGUGGGUUCGAAUCCCACCGCUUCCGCCA